UACGUAGGGUGCAAGCGUUAAUCGGAAUUACUGGGCGUAAAGCGUGCGCAGGCGGUGAUGUAAGACAGGUGUGAAAUCCCCGGGCUUAACCUGGGAACUGCAUUUGUGACUGCAUUGCUGGAGUGCGGCAGAGGGGGAUGGAAUUCCGCGUGUAGCAGUGAAAUGCGUAGAUAUGCGGAGGAACACCGAUGGCGAAGGCAAUCCCCUGGGCCUGCACUGACGCUCAUGCACGAAAGCGUGGGGAGCAAACAGG
rnacentral:ncRNA from 2 species